rnacentral:lncRNA from 13 species
AUGGUGCCAUAUCAAGAAUGCAGUGUUGGUCUCUGCUGCUGGCAAACUGGGAGCUCAGCAGUGGCUAUAGCCAAGUCAGCCUUGUGCCAUGAACUACACCCACAUAGGAUGGCAAACUUAAUUAAUAAAUGUUCAGUGUGUUCUGACUGCUCCACACAGCAACCAUCUUUCCCACUCUCCUUCUUUCUCCCUCUUCUCUGGCCUCUCGGUUCCCUGAGACACAAGAAUAUUAAAAUUAGGCCAAUUAAUAACCCUAAAAUGGCCUCUAAGUGUUCAGUGAAAGGAAGAGUCACAUAUCUCUCCUUUUAUAUCAAAAGCUGGAAAUAAUUUAGCUUAGUGAGGAGGGCAUGUUGAAAGAUGAGAUAGGCCAAAAGCUAGGCCUCUUGCACCAAAUAACUAGUUGUAAAUGCAAAGGAAAACUUCUUAAAGAAAAUUACAAUUGCUGCCCCAGUGAACACACAAAUGAUAAGAAAGUGAAACAGCUUGAUGACUGAAAGUUUUAGGGGUUUGAACUGAUGAUCAAACCAGUCACAACCUUCCCUUAAGCCAAAGCCUAACCCAGAGCAAUGCCAUACUCUCUUUAAUUCUGUGAAGGCUGAGAGAGGUAAGGAAACUACAGAAGAAGGUAGUAGAGGUUGGCUCAUGAGGUUUAAGGAAAAAAGCCAUUUCCAUAACAUAAAAGUGCAAGGUGAAACAACAAGUUCUGAUGUAGAAGCUGCAACAAGUUUCCAGAAGAUCUAGCUAAGAUCAUUAAUGGAGGUGUACACCACUCAACAGAUUUUCAAUGUAGAUGAAAAGCCUUACAGUAGAAGAUGCUAUCUCAAAUUUUCAUAAUUAGAGAGGAGAAGUCAAUGCCUGGCUUUAGAAUUUCAAAGGACAGGCUGACUCUUCUGUUAGGUGCUAAUGUAGUUGGUGACUUUAAAUUGAAGUCAAUGCUCAUUUACCAUUUUACCAUUCCAAAAUCUUAGGGCAUGUAAGAAUUACGCUAAAUCUACUCUGCCUGUACUCUCUAAAUGAAACAACAAAACCUGGAUGGCAGUGUAUCUGCUUCUAGUAUGACUUACUAAAAUAUUUUAAGCCCACUGUUGAGACCUACUCUUCAGAAAAAAAGAUUUCAAAAAAGUACUGAUUCACAAUAUACCUGGUCACCCAAAAGCUCUGAUGAAAAUGUACAGAGACUUAUGUUGUUUUCAUGCCUGUUAACACAGCAUCCAUUCCAUAAGCCUACAAAUCAAGGAGUAACUUUGACUUCCAAGUGUCGUUAUUUUAAAAGUACAUUUCUUAAAACUAUAACUGUCACAGAUACUGAUUCCUCAGAUGGAUCUGGACAAAGUACAUUGAAAAUCUUCUAGAAAUGAUUCACCAUUCUAGAUUAGAUUAAGAACAUUUGUGAUUCAUGAGAGAAGAUCAAAAUGUCAACAUUUACAGGAGUUUGGAAGAAGUUGAUUCUAAUUCUCAUGGAAGACUUUGAGGGGUUCAAGACCUUAAUGAAAGAAGUCACUGUGGAUGUGAUGGAAAUAGCAAGAGAACUAGAGUUAGGCAUGGAACUUGAACAUGUGACUGGAUUGCUGUGAUCUCAUAAUAAAACUUGAAUGGAGGAGAAGUUGUUUCCUAUG